UACGUAGGGGGGCAAGCGUUGUCCGGAUUUAUUGGGCGUAAAGAGCUCGUAGGCGGCUCAGUAAGUCGGGUGUGAAAAGCCCCCGAGCUCAACUCGGGGAGGCCACCCGAUACUGCUGUGGCUAGAGUCCGGUAGGGGAGCGUGGAAUUCCCGGUGUAGCGGUGAAAUGCGCAGAUAUCGGGAGGAACACCAGCGGCGAAGGCGGCGCUCUGGGCCGGAACUGACGCUGAGGAGCGAAAGCGUGGGGAGCGAACAGG
rnacentral:rRNA from 1 species